rnacentral:lncRNA from 1 species
CAGACCUUUUUUUCUCCUUCUGUGCAAGAACACGGUAAAAAAAUGUAAUAUAAAAUGAGACAAACCAAAAACAUGUUGACAAAAUAAACGUUCUACAUAAAACGAAACUUAAAUUUGUUUAAAUUCAAUAACAUCUAAAUCCAUUGUAAAAACAGAGCGAAGAGAAUAAGAUUAAAAGUGAUACCAGUUGACAAUCUUUAUUUUUUUGUUCCUUGGGUAGAAGAAGUUGAUUUUUGUUUCCCCGUAAAUUUGGCAUUCACCAAAGCAUCAGACCUUUGUUUCUCCUUCUGUGUAAGAACAUGAUAAAAAAUAAGUAAUAUUAAUUGAGACAAACCAAAAACAUGUUGACAAAUCAAACGUUGUACAUAAAAUGAUACUUAAAAAUUUUUAAAUUCAAUAACAUCCAAAACUAUUGUCAAAACAAAGAGAAAAGAAUAGGAUUAAAAUUGAUACAAGUUGGCACUCUUUAUAUUUUGUUCCUUGGCUAGAAAAGGUUGAUUUUUCUUUCUCCUUAAAUUUGACAUUCUCCAAAAUAUCAGACCUUUUUUCCUCCUUCUGGGUAAGAAAACGGUACUUAAAAGCAAAAAAAUAAGAACAAAAAAAAUGAAUGAGAAAUAGGUGUAAGGAUACACUACCUCACGUAUACAGAGACAAUUUAGUUCAUAUUCAUUCCGAAUUACCACUCCUACAUUAUUCUGACGAAGUAUUCGAACCUGUAGGCAAAAAAAGGUUGAAUAGUAAAUAAGUUGGUAAAAAGAUAAGAUAAAAAGUAAGAAAAUGAUGAGUAAGAAAAAAUUAUCAUACGGUAUUUUCGAGGCCGUCAUCCAUCUGUCACGAAAUUAAUGAAAAUAAAUUAAAAUAAAUAAGUUAUUAAAAAAAUCAAUAAGAUUUAUUUAGAGAGAGUUAAUCACAUAAUAAACUUACACCACCAAAUAUAACAUCAUCCAUUGGUCGAUGAUUAUGCAGUUGAAACGGUUGUAGCUACACAGUAAAUUUCAUAAAUUUCAAUUACAUAAUAUACAUACACAAAAAUACAUACACAUCCAAUUUCCAGAACCAAAAUUAAGAAAAAAGACAACAUAAAUCUCCCUACAAAUUUCACAAAAUGAACACUCAAUAAUAACCAACUCAACAUCUAUUCCAUCCUAACAUUCAUAAUAAAAAAAAACCUAUUUCAUCAUAACUAUAAACACCCAUUGUAAAAAAAACAAAUUUAAAACACCCAAAGUUAAACUGAAGCUGUUGGAAAUAGAUAAGAAGACUUAUGAUGAAAACUUAAGUUAAAGAUUUCAAGGUAUAACUGAUACUAAUGGUUGAUUCACUUGAUAAAAAAUUCAUGAUAAAAAAAAAUUUAAUUUACACCACAGCUCAGUUGAUUCGUACAAUAAAAAAAGAAAAAUUAGACCCAAUACAUGGUAAGAGGUUGUUUGAAAACGAAACUAUAGAAAGAGUCAUCAAGCAUUCCUUUUAUAGAAAAGUGUCAUCCACGCACCCUUAAAGAAGCUCAAGCCAAGUUUAAUAGUUUUUAAUUUGGUAUUUUUCAACAAAUCGGACAAUGUCAGAAGUCGGUAAGUUUAUGUAAUUUAGUUUUCUUUUUUCCUUCCAAAAGUUUUCUUGAAACAUAAAUGAUCAUAGAGAAAAAUACUAAUAGUACUAAUAACAAAUGAGGGAUAUGCCUAAAAUUUUUAUAAAAAUGAGGUAUUUAUAAAAAAAUUCGUUACGUCGUGUCUUACUCUCCUUGAACACAUAUACUGUCAGCACCAAAAUCAAGUCAAUAUAAUGUCAAUAAAAUAAUUUGCAAAUAAGGCCAGUAGUGAGACACAACAAUAGUAUAUGAGUUCAGUUCUAGGUAAGGAAAAUAUCAGUAUUGACCAUCAUUCAACAGUAAUAAUGACUGCUUUAAGUAUCAAGAUUAUUAUUUCUUUUGCGUAAAAGCAAUAAUAAUCUUGAUACUAAAAGCAGUCAUUAUUACUGGAAUCAAAACACCAUGUAUAGCAGUCAUUAACACCAUGUAUACACAUAUCAAUCAUUCAAUCAAAACAAUGAGCAGGGCUUACAGAAGCAGAGCAGUAAAUACCUUCAAGAAUGCCACUAAUUUCUAAACACCAUGUAUUCCUUCAAGAAUGCCAAUAACUUCUAAACCUUCAUUUUUCUGUACCAAAUAAAUAAAAAUAACAACCAAUUUUGAGCUAAAAUAAAUGAAAAAAUAACAAAGAAAAAGGUUUAGAAUGGGUUUGAUUCAAGAAAAACAUCAAGAUUAAAAAAAAAUAUUUGCACCAAUCUUACUCCUAAUGAAAGAUUUAAAAAAUACAUCCAAAAUCUUACUCUCCUUAAACUAUAAAUUUUUUCGUAAAUGAGGUAUUUAUAAAAAAUUUCGUUACGUCGUGUAUUACUCUCCUUGAACUAUAAAGUAUUUUUCCAAAAUCUUCCAUUCCCAAGCAUCACCAAAAUCAAGCCGUUUUUUUCUACUUUUUAGUGCUCCAAAGUCACUAUAAGUCAUCACCAAAAUCAAGUCAAUAAAAUAAAUUGCAAAUAAGGCCAAGGCAGUCGGUAUCGCGUGAGAAGCUAUUUGUAAACAGUAUAUUGACUUUGCAAAUAAACUGUUACAAUUGUAAAAGUGUGUAACAAGUUGAUUUUAAUGGAGUGCAAUUGUAAUGUGUGUGUAACCUAUUGCAAUUGCCAAUUGCACUAUGUUCAUCAAUAUAUAAUGUUACAGGCGCGUGCUCCAAAGGCUGAGUACAUCUCCUUUUAUUAAAACUUUUCUCUUAGUAUAUUACACACAUAUAUUAGGAGAAUCCAUUCACAAUACAAUAUACUCCACUAAUUUAAAUGAACACUUUCUUAAAUCCUCCUGACUGCUACAUCAGAAAAACAAAAGACCUUAAGGAAAUGUGAUGCAAGAGGUCUAGCUCUAGAGGGAAAAAAAUGUGCAUUACCCAAGUUCAUCUAUUAUGAAACAGACGUCAUGCGCUUGCAAUAAAAAAAAAGACAAACAAUUUACAAAUAAAGAUUGGACAGCAACAAUUUACAAAUAAAAGUACAUGGCAUUAAUAUCCUCAUUCAGGUCUAGAGGGAAAAAAAUGUAAUUACCCAUUCAGGUCUUAAGUUCCAAUAAUAUCCUCAUUUAGACAUUUUAACAAACACCAAACAAUUAAUACUUCCUUAUACUCUGGAAUGAGUAAUUUUAUGAAUACAGGGCAUUCAACAGGGUAUUAAUUUGGUCGACCAACAAACAUGUAAUGGUAAUUACCUGGGAAGCCGUCAAAUUAGGCUAAGAACCCAUGCCAAAUUUGAAGGCGUCAAUUUGCUUCGGCCACGUUUUCCUUCGGCGGGAGAGUAGAAGGGAGAGAGAGAUGAUGCGACCACUAGAAGAGAGAGAGACGAUGCAAAUGAAGGAGAAGGAGAAGGAGAAGGAGAAGGCGAAGGCGAAGGCCACUCAGUUUUUACAAAUGGAUUUGGAGAUGGAGGAGAGUACAAUGAAGGAGAAGGAGAAAUGAGAAGGGGGCAGAGGUCGGGAUUUGGGUAGUGUGCAGGAGAAAGAUUAAUUUGGGCGGUUUUUAUUUUUAUGAAAUGAAAUGUCAGCCUUUGGAUGAAGUUGUAAA